UUUUUUAACAGGUCAGGGAAACCUCCAAGAUUUUGUGUCGAAUGUCAACUAUGGAUUGUCAGUUCAAGAGAAUGAUUGAUAAAUUUUUGUGGAUAAAUUUGCACGAAAAACCAAUCCUCAACGCCAUGGGAUUUUUUGUAAUUUCACGAAAGUCUGUUUUCCAGUGUUUGGCUUUUAUUAUAAGCAUAAUGUUGGUUCUGGUGCAAUUUAAGGAAAUGGAAAGUGUCACGGAUAAUCAAUCCUGAGGGGUUAAUGAAUUGUAGUAAACAAAUCAUGUGUUUUAAAAACAUUUAAUGUCAAUUGAUGGUAGUACUUAAUCAAAAUUUUAAAAUUAUAAA